CCUGCUUGCAGGGUACUCGAGUGGCGAACGGGUGAGUAACACGUGGGUGAUCUGCCCUGCACUUCGGGAUAAGCCUGGGAAACUGGGUCUAAUACCGGAUAGGAGCCAUUUUUAGUGUGAUGGUUGGAAAGUUUUUUCGGUGUAGGAUGAGCUCGCGGCCUAUCAGCUUGUUGGUGGGGUAAUGGCCUACCAAGGCGGCGACGGGUAGCCGGCCUGAGAGGGUGGACGGCCACAUUGGGACUGAGAUACGGCCCAGACUCCUACGGGAGGCAGCAGUGGGGAAUAUUGCACAAUGGGCGCAAGCCUGAUGCAGCGACGCCGCGUGGGGGAUGACGGCCUUCGGGUUGUAAACUCCUUUCGCUAGGGACGAAGCUUUUUGUGACGGUACCUAGAUAAGAAGCACCGGC
rnacentral:rRNA from 1 species